rnacentral:pre_miRNA from 2 species
AUUUUUUGUCUUCUACCUAAGAAUUUUGUCUCUUAGGCUUUCUCUUCCCAGAUUUCCCAAAGUUGGGAGAAGCUGGGUUGAGAGGGCAAAAGGAAAAAAAAAGAAUUC